rnacentral:rRNA from 1 species
UACAGAGGUCUCAAGCGUUGUUCGGAUUCAUUGGGCGUAAAGGGCGCGUAGGCGGCGGGGUAAGUCGGGUGUGAAAUCUCAGAGCUCAACUCUGAAACUGCACUCGAUACUGCUUUGCUAGAGGACUGGAGAGGAGAUUGGAAUUCACGGUGUAGCAGUGAAAUGCGUAGAUAUCGUGAGGAAGACCAGUGGCGAAGGCGGAUCUCUGGACAGUUCCUGACGCUGAGGCGCGAAGGCCAGGGGGAGCAAACGGG